UGUAUCUUGAUUUUUUAAGCUGAUUCUUUUCACUACUACAAUAAAGGCUUAUGGCAGCUCUUACUAUGGCAACGGUUCGAAAAUCGUUGCAGUAGAGCCUAUGGUAAUGGUUAUCACCAACUGCUGUCAUAGAUCGAACCUAUAGAAGUGGUUAUAGAUAACCGCUGUCAUAGGUUAGCCUAUGGCAGUAGUUAUAAAUAACCGUUGCCAUAGGUUAGCCUAUGGCAGCGGUUAUAGGUGACCGCUACUGUAGGUCCAACCUAUGACAGUGAUUUUUGAUAACCGCUCUCAU
rnacentral:lncRNA from 1 species